rnacentral:rRNA from 1 species
UACGAGGGGGGCAAGCGUUGUUCGGAUUUAUUGGGCGUAAAGGGUGCGUAGGCGGUUUGGCAAGUCUUGUGUGAAAUCUUUGGGCUCAACCCAAAGUCUGCAUAAGAAACUGCCGGGCUUGAGUAUGGGAGAGGUGAGUGGAAUUUCCGGUGUAGCGGUGAAAUGCGUAGAUAUCGUUUGGAACGCCGAUGGUGAAAACAGGUCGCUGGGGACAUGCUGACGCUGAGACACGAAAGCCAGGGGAGCGAACGGG